GAACAUCGGCGGCGAAGUGGAUUAUCUCCAGAAGAAGAAGAGAAGGAAGCUCUUUGGUGGACAUGCACGGUUGCUCCCCUAACCCUGAAACUCGAGCUAGCGAAAGGAACUAGCUUAUCUUGCUAGCUCUCGGUCUUUGCAAUCGUGCAGUACGACUGAUGAUGGGCCGAUGACACACUUGCUGCUUGGGCUUCCAUGAUGGGCUUGGCUUCUUCAUCCCAUGGAUACCUCGUACCAUGUCGACUUCACUAACAUCCUAGGAGUGGGUGGGGGAAACCUUGCGCGACGGGCUUGGCCACACGGAGAAAAAAAAAAAAAAAAAAAAAAAAACCAGGGAAGGAAACGAGCUUGAGCAAUUCGCCAGAUCCAGAGAGAUAGAUAGCUGUGUACGGAGUAGAUAAUGAGAG
rnacentral:sRNA from 1 species